GCCGCGGUAAUACGUAGGUGGCAAGCGUUGUCCGGAAUUAUUGGGCGUAAAGCGCGCGCAGGCGGUCUGUCAAGUCUGACGUGAAAGCUCCUGGCUUAACUGGGAGAGGUCGUUGGAAACUGAUGGGCUUGAGGCAAUGAGAGGGGUGUAGAAUACCCGGUGUAGUGGUGGAAUGCGUAGAUAUCGGGAGGAAUACCAGUGGCGAAGGCGACACCCUGGCAUUGACCUGACGCUGAGGUGCGAAAGCGUGGGGAGCGAACGG
rnacentral:rRNA from 1 species